GACGAACGCUGGCGGCGUGCCUAACACAUGCAAGUCGAGCGGGGUUGAAGCGAGGGGUAACUCGAACUUCUACCUAGCGGCGGACGGGUGAGUAACGCGUGGGCAACCUGCCUCAAGGAUCGGGAUAACAGCUCGAAAGGGCUGCUAAUACCGGAUAUGCCUAUGGCCUCGCAUGGGGCUGUGGGCAAAGGGGAAACCCGCCUUGAGAUGGGCCCGCGUCCCAUCAGCUAGUUGGUGAGGUGAAGGCUCACCAAGGCGACGACGGGUAGCCGGCCUGAGAGGGUGACCGGCCACACUGGGGCUGAGACACGGCCCAGACUCCUACGGGGGCAGCAGUGGGGGAUCUUGCACAAUGGGCGAAAGCCUGAUGCAGCGACGCCGCGUGAGCGAAGAAGGCCUUCGGUUGUAAAGCUCUGUCUGGAGGGACGAAGAAAGUGACGGUACCUCCGGAGGAAGCCACGGCUAACUACGUG
rnacentral:rRNA from 1 species